GACGUAGGGGGCCAGCGUUGUUCGGAAUUACUGGGUGUAAAGGGUUCGUAGGCGGUGUGGCAAGUCGGGAGUGAAAUCUCUGGGCUCAACUCAGAGACUGCUUCCGAAACUGCUGUGCUGGAGUCCGGGAGAGGUGAGUGGAACUGCGAGUGUAGAGGUGAAAUUCGUAGAUAUUCGCAAGAACACCAGUGGCGAAGGCGGCUCACUGGCCCGGUACUGACGCUGAGGUGCGAAAGCGUGGGGAGCAAACAGG
rnacentral:rRNA from 1 species